rnacentral:lncRNA from 1 species
CAAAUUCCACUGUCGAACAGCUCUUACUGUCAGGAAGUUCUUCCUAAUGUUUAGGUGGAAUCUUCUUUCUUGUACUUUGGAUCCAUUGCUCCGUGUCCGCUUCUCUGGAGCAGCAGAAAACAACCUUUCUCCCUCCUCUAUGUGACAUCCUUUUAUAUAUUUGAACAUGGCUAUCAUAUCACCCCUUAACCUCCUCUUCUCCAGGCUAAACAUGCCCAGCUCUCUUAGCCGUUCCUCAUAAGGCAUCGUUUCCAGGCCUUUGACCAUUUUGGUUGCCCUCCUCUGGACACGUUCCAGUUUGUCAGUGUCCUUCUUGAACUGUGGUGCCCAGAACUGGACACAGUACUCCAGGUGAGGUCUGACCAGAGCAGAAUACAGUGGCACUAUUACUUCCCUUGAUCUAGAUGCUAUACUCCUAUUGAUGCAGCCCAGAAUUGCAUUGGCUUUUUAGCUGCCGCGUCACACUGUUGGCUCAUGUCAAGUUUGUGGUCAACCAAGACUCCUAGAUCCUUUUCACAUGUACUGCUCUCAAGCCAGGUGUCCCCCAUCUUGUAUUUGUGCCUCUCAUUUUUUUGCCCAAGUGCAAUACUUUACAUUUCUCCCUGUUAAAAUUCAUCUUGUUUCUUUUGGCCCAGUUCUCUAAUCUGUCAAGGUCGUUUUGAAGUGUGAUCCUGUCCUCUGGGGUGUUAGCCACCCCUCCCAAUUUGGUGUCAUCUGCAAAUUUGAUCAGGAUGCCCUUGAGUCCAUCAUCCAAGUCGUUGAUAAAGAUGUUGAAUAAGACCGGGCCCAAGACAGAACCCUGUGGCACCCCACUAGUCACUCUUCUCCAGGAUGAAGAGGAACCAUUGAUGAGCACCCUUUGGGUUCGGUCAGUCAGCCAGUUACAAAUCCACUGAGUGGUAGCAUAGUCAAGACCACAUUUUACCAGCUUCUUUACAAGAAUAUUAUGAGGCACCUUGUCAAAUGCCUUGCUGAAAUCAAGGUAGGCUACAUCCACUGCGUUCCCUUCAUCUAGCAGGCUUGUAAUUCUGUCAAAAAACGAGAUCAGGUUAGUCUGACAUGACUUAUUUUUCAGAAAUCCAUGCUGACUAUUGGUGAUCACAGCAUUCCUUUCUAGGUGCUCACAGACUGUUUGCUUAAUGAUCUGCUCCAGAAUCUUCCCUGGUAUUGAUGUCAGACUGACUGGGCGGUAAUUAUUUGGGUCCUCUCUUUUCCCCUUUUUGAAAAUAGGGACAACAUUUGCCCUCCUCCAGUCUGCCGGGACUUCGCCUGUUCUCCAGGAAUUCUCAAAGAUGACUGCCAGUGGUUCUGAGAUCACAUCUGCCAGUUCUUUUAAUACUCUUGGAUGCAGUUCAUCUGGCCCUGG